rnacentral:rRNA from 1 species
GGUUCCGAUUAUGGCUCAGAUUGAACGCUGGCGGGAUGCUUUACAUGCAAGUCGAACGGCAGCACGGACUUCGGUCUGGUGGCGAGUGGCGAACGGGUGAGUAAUGUAUCGGAACGUGCCUAGUAGCGGGGGAUAACUACGCGAAAGCGUAGCUAAUACCUACCGCAUACGCCCUUCGGGGAAAGCGGGGGACCUUCGGGCCUCGCACUAUUAGAGCGGCCGAUAUCGGAUAGCUAGUUGGUGGGGUAACGGCUCACCAGGCGACGAUCCGUAGCUGGUUUGAGAGGACGACCAGCCACACUGGGACUGAGACACGGCCCAGACUCCUACGGGAGGCAGCAGUGGGGAAUUUUGGACAAUGGGGGAAACCCUGAUCCAGCCAUCCCGCGUGUGCGAUGAAGGCCUUCGGGUUGUAAAGCACUUUUGGCAGGAAAGAAACGGCACGGGAUAAUACCCCGUGCAACUGACGGCUCACCCUGCAGAAUAAGCACCGGCUAACUACGUGCCAGCAGCCGCGGUAAUACGUAGGGUGCAAGCGUUAAUCGAAUUACUGGGCGUAAAGCGUGCGCAGGCGGACCGGAAAGAAAGAUGUGAAAUCCCAGAGCUUAACUUUGGAACUGCAUUUUUAACUACCGAGCUAGAGUGUGUCAGGGGAGGUGGAAUUCCGCCACGUGUAGCAGUGAAAUGCGUAGAUAUGCGGAGAACACCGAUGGCGAAGGCAGCCUCCUGGGAUAACACUGACGCUCAUGCACGAAAAGCGUGGGGAGCAAACAGAAUAGAUACCCUGGUAGUCCACGCCUAAACGAUGUCAACUAGCUGUUGGGGCCUUCGGGCCUUGGUAGCGCAGCUAACGCGUGAAGUUGACCGCCUGGGGGAUACGGUCGCAAGAUUAAAACUCAAAGGAAUUGACGGGGACCCGCACAAGCGGUGGAUGAUGUGGAUUAAUUCGAUGCAACGCGAAAAACCUUACCUACCCUUGACAUGUCUGGAAUCCCGAAGAGAUUUGGGAGUGCUCGCAAGAGAACCGGAACACAGGUGCUGCAUGGCUGUCGUCGAAGCUCGUGUCGUGAGAUGUUGGGUUAAGUCCCGCAACGAGCGCAACCCUUGUCAUUAGUUGCUACGAAAGGGCACUCUAAUGAGACUGCCGGUGACAAACCGGAGGAAGGUGGGGAUGACGUCAAGUCCUCAUGGCCCUUAUGGGUAGGGGGCUUCACACGUCAUACAAUGGUCGGGACAGAGGGUCGCCAACCCGCGAGGGGGAGCCAAUCCCAGAAACCCGAUCGUAGUCCGGAUCGCAGUCUGCAACUCGACUGCGUGAAGUCGGAAUCGCUAGUAAUCGCGGAUCAGCAUGUCGCGGUGAAUACGUUCCCGGGUCUUGUACACACCGCCCGUCACACCAUGGGAGUGGGUUUUACCAGAAGUAGUUAGCCUAACCGUAAGGAGGGCGAUUACCACGGUAGGAUUCAUGACUGGGGUGAAGUCGUAACAAGGUAG